rnacentral:miRNA from 1 species
UAGUGCUGCAAUGUAAAACAUUGCAGGUCCAGAGAACUGCAAUAUUUACAUUGCAGCUCUA